rnacentral:rRNA from 1 species
CCUACGGGUGGCAGCAGUGAGGAAUAUUGGUCAAUGGGUGGGAGCCUGAACCAGCCAAGUCGCGUGAGGGAAGACGGUCCUACGGAUUGUAAACCUCUUUUGCCGGGGAGCAACGGGGUCCUUGCGAGGUCCCAAUGAGAGUACCCGGAGAAAAAGCAUCGGCUAACUCCGUGCCAGCAGCCGCGGUAAUACGGAGGAUGCGAGCGUUAUCCGGAUUUAUUGGGUUUAAAGGGAGCGUAGGCCGGUCUUUAAGCGUGCCGUGAAAUUUUGUGGCUCAACCAUGAGAGUGCGGCGCGAACUGGAGACCUUGAGUGCGCGGAAGGCAGGCGGAAUUCGUGGUGUAGCGGUGAAAUGCUUAGAUAUCACGAAGAACCCCGAUUGCGAAGGCAGCCUGCCGCAGCGUUACUGACGCUGAAGCUCGAAAGCGCGGGUAUCGAACAGGAUUAGAUACCCUUGUAGUC